rnacentral:rRNA from 1 species
UGGGGGAUUUUGCACAAUGGGCGCAAGCCUGAUGCAGCGACGCCGCGUGAGGGAUGAAGGCCUUCGGGUUGUAAACCUCUUUCGCUGGGUUGAAAGGCCAUGCUUUGGGUGUGGUUGAUUUGAACUGGUAAAGAAGUACCGGCUAACUACGUGCCAGCAGCCGCGGUAAUACGUAGGGUACUAGCGUUGUCCGGAUUUAUUGGGCGUAAAGGGCUUGUAGGUGGUUUGUCGCGUCUGUCGUGAAAUCCUGUGGCUUAACCAUGGGCUUGCGGGGGGUACGGGCAGGCUUGAGUGCGGUAGGGGGGACUGGAAUUCCUGGUGUGGCGGUGGAAUGCGCAGAUAUCAGGAGGAACACCGGUGGCGAAGGCGGGUCUCUGGGCCGUUACUGACACUGAGGAGCGAAAGCGUGGGGAGCGAACAGG